AGCAGGGGGAGGGCUACGGGCUGGACACGGUGCGGCCGGUGCCCCGCGGAGUCUUCCACAACAUGCUGCUGCACCUGAACAAGCUGCAAACACUGUCCUGGGGCAUGAGGGGGAGCCGCCAGAGCCGCUGCCCGACGACUACCCUCAGCCCGUCGGACCCGCAGCAACCAGGACCGGCCCGGUACGGCGGCCCGGUGCUGACCAGUCUGGAGCUGGUGGAUUACCCAGAAACCAUUCUGCCAGAGAACAGCUCUGAGAGUCUGACGUCGCUGCGCUCGCUGACGGUCCGGUACAGGUACAUCAGAGAAGGCAUCACCUGUCGUCUUGGUCGUGGCUGAGCCCUCUGAAGCAGCUGGAGACGCUCACCAUCAUCGGUGGAAACUCUCUGGCUACCUACACCACCACCAUCCCGUCUAGCGUGACCAGGCUGACGCUGCGAGUCGCCAUAACGCUCAAGACAUGGACUCC